rnacentral:rRNA from 1 species
GACGAACGCUGGCGGCGUGCUUAACACAUGCAAGUCGAACGGAAAGGCCCUGCUUGCAGGGUACUCGAGUGGCGAACGGGUGAGUAACACGUGGGUGAUCUGCCCUGCACUUCGGGAUAAGCCUGGGAAACUGGGUCUAAUACCGGAUAGGAGCCAUUUUUAGUGUGAUGGUUGGAAAGUUUUUUUCGGUGUAGGAUGAGCUCGCGGCCUAUCAGCUUGUUGGUGGGGUAAUGGCCUACCAAGGCGGCGACGGGUAGCCGGCCUGAGAGGGUGGACGGCCACAUUGGGACUGAGAUACGGCCCAGACUCCUACGGGAGGCAGCAGUGGGGAAGAUUGCACAAUGGGCGCAAGCCUGAUGCAGCGACGCCGCGUGGGGGAUGACGGCCUUCGGGUUGUAAACUCCUUUCGCUAGGGACGAAGCUUUUUGUGACGGUACCUAGAGAAGAAGCACCGGCUAACUACGUG